UCCCAAACAAAAAGGGAUAUCGAGUUCUUUUCGUUUUAGCCUUUGUUUGAUACUUUGGAUUUUUUUUUUGAGGUUGAACUCUCAGAGAAAGGGGAAUAUAGAUAAAGCUUAAGGAAGAAUCGAGUCGCAUUUCGCCGAUGUAAAGUCACUGCCUAUCUUACUCAUUCCAUCCAAGUUCACUGCCCCCCCAAGGUGAAGUGGGCCAAAGGCCCAAAACAAACGGGUCAAAAAACGCGAAAGCAAGUGGGUCCAAAAUCCGAUUCAGGCGGACAGAAUCCGAGUUUGGGUACUAUCUACUAUGGCACCCAAGCAAGACCGAGCCUACGCACGCGAGCGAUCCAAGUCUGUUGCCCCGUCUGCACGCUUGAUCAUCGGCUCUGAUGAUGAGCGAGACCCUGAAUAUGUGCCCCAGGCACUUCCGCACCUUCCCGUGUUGCACGUGCCCCCAGAGCCACACCCAAGAC